UCUGUUCUCGUUACACGACAACGAGCAAAGAGGGGCAGCUGUACAGCCCAAAUUUACCCGGGCCUCACCAAAUAACAGGCCCAAAAAUUUAAAACCUACCCAAGCCCAAUUACAAAACCCAUUACCCAAAACACAAAUCAAAAAAAAGAAACCCUAACCCUAGGUACGUCGCACCUAGGGCCUUCUGACCGCAACUGCCACCACCGACUCACCCCACUUGCGCCGCGCACGUCCCAUCGUCCUCACCUGCUCCACCUGCAAACACGCAAAC
rnacentral:lncRNA from 1 species